GGAGACCCUUAGGAAACUAGGGGUGCUUCCAUCUGGAAGAAUCUGGAGACAGGUGCUGCAUGGCUGUCGUCAGCUCGUGUCGUGAGAUGUCGGGUUAAGUCCCGCAACGAGCGCAACCCUUGCCUUUAGUUGCCAGCAGUUCGGCUGGCACUCUAAAGGGACUGCCGGUGUUAAACCGGAGGAAGGUGGGGAUGACGUCAAGUCCUCAUGGCCUUUAUGACCAGGGCUACACACGUACUACAAUGGCCGAUACAAAGGGCAGCGACACUGCGAGGUGAAGCCAAUCCCGUAAAAUCGGUCUCAGUCCGGAUUGGAGUCUGCAACUCGACUCCAUGAAGUUGGAAUCGCUAGUAAUCGUGGAUCAGCAUGCCACGGUGAAUACGUUCCCGGGCCUU
rnacentral:rRNA from 1 species